GCCCGUAUUGCUUUGGCAGUACGCUGGCUUCUUAGAGGGACUAUCCGCUCAAGCGGAUGGAAGUUUGAGGCAAUAACAGGUUAACCUUCACAGGCCUGUAACAGUGAGCCUCACUAAAUAAUUUGCUAGUCCAGUACUUUAAUCUCUUUUGGGGAAGCCCCCUAUUAUCGGGAAGAGACGUAGUAAUACGUAGUACGGGCGACACUACCUGGAACAGGGAACGCCUCUGUAUUUACAGUACAAGGCCGAUC
rnacentral:rRNA from 1 species